CCCGCUGAACUUAAGCAUAUUAAUAAGCGGAGGAAAAGAAACUAACAAGGAUUCCCCUAGUAACGGCGAGUGAAGCGGGAAGAGCUCAAGCUUAAAAUCUCCGUGUAAGUUUUGCACGGCGAAUUGUAGUCUAUAGAGGCGUGGUCAGCGUGGGCGCUUGGGGCAAGUUCCUUGGAAGAGGACAGCAUGGAGGGUGAUACUCCCGUUCAUCCCUGAGUUGCUCGUGCGUACGGCCCGUUUUCUUUGAGUCGCGUUGUUUGGGAAUGCAGCGCAAAGUAGGUGGUAAAUUCCAUCUAAAGCUAAAUAUUGGUGCGAGACCGAUAGCGAACAAGUACCGUGAGGGAAAGAUGAAAAGAACUUUGAAAAGAGAGUUAAAGAGUACCUGAAACUGCUGAAAGGGAACCGAAUCGUUUCCAGUGUCUAUAAUCUGUGGCAUAUUUCAUUGGCGAGUGUGUGCGUGCGUGUACUGUGGCAGUGGCUUUUUUGGCUGCGCUCGGUGUGUGUGCUGUGUGUGCUUGCUGGUGCCCUGUGCUGCGGUGGGACGUCAAGGUCAGUUCGUAUGCUGCGGGAAAUGGCUACCGAGGAGGUAGGGCUUACGCUUGCGUUUGUCUGUUAUAUCUUGGUGGACGAGUAGUCGCGGUUGGGACUGAGGUGCCUACAACGUGCUUUUGAGUGUGUUUGUGUCUCCGUGUGCGCCGUGUGCGGAUAGCUUGCUAUGCGUGUGUGGUUGUGUGUGGAUUGAUGCGGACUUUAACUUGUUGCCGUUCGGGACGUUGACGAAAUGGAGCGAUCCGACCCGUCUUGAAACACGG
rnacentral:ncRNA from 1 species